AUUGAACGCUGGCGGCAUGCUUUACACAUGCAAGUCGAACGGCAGCGCGGGCUUCGGCCUGGCGGCGAGUGGCGAACGGGUGAGUAAUGCAUCGGAACGUGCCCAGUAGUGGGGGAUAGCCCGGCGAAAGCCGGAUUAAUACCGCAUACGACCUGAGGGUGAAAGCGGGGGACCGAAAGGCCUCGCGCUAUUGGAGCGGCCGAUGUCGGAUUAGCUAGUUGGUGGGGUAAAGGCUUACCAAGGCGACGAUCCGUAGCUGGUCUGAGAGGACGACCAGCCACACUGGGACUGAGACACGGCCCAGACUCCUACGGGAGGCAGCAGUGGGGAAUUUUGGACAAUGGGCGCAAGCCUGAUCCAGCAAUGCCGCGUGCAGGAAGAAGGCCUUCGGGUUGUAAACUGCUUUUGUACGGAACGAAACGGCUCUGGUUAAUACCCGGGGCUAAUGACGGUACCGUAAGAAUAAGCACCGGCUAACUACGUG
rnacentral:rRNA from 1 species